rnacentral:rRNA from 1 species
CCCUUAGAUGUUCUGGACUGCACGCGCGCUACACUGAUGCGCUCAACGAGUUUAUGACCUUGCCCGGAAGGGUUGGGUAAUCUUCUUAAAACGCAUCGUGAUGGGGAUAGAUUAUUGCAAUUAUUAAUCUUCAACGAGGAAUUCCUAGUAAGCGCGAGUCAUCAGCUCGUGCUGAUUACGUCCCUGCCCUUUGUACACACCGCCCGUCGCUCCUACCGAUUGAAUGAUCCGGUGAGGCCCCCGGAUUGUGGCAAUGGCUCUGGUUCGCCAGACCAAUGCUGCGAGAAGCUGUCCAAACCUUAUCAUUUAGAGGAAGGAGAANUCGUANCA